GACGAACGCUGGCGGCGUGCCUAAUACAUGCAAGUUGAGCGCUGAAGGUUGGUACUUGUACCGACUGGAUGAGCAGCGAACGGGUGAGUAACGCGUGGGGAAUCUGCCUUUGAGCGGGGGACAACAUUUGGAAACGAAUGCUAAUACCGCAUAAAAACUUUAAACACAAGUUUUAAGUUUGAAAGAUGCAAUUGCAUCACUCAAAGAUGAUCCCGCGUUGUAUUAGCUAGUUGGUGAGGUAAAGGCUCACCAAGGCGAUGAUACAUAGCCGACCUGAGAGGGUGAUCGGCCACAUUGGGACUGAGACACGGCCCAAACUCCUACGGGAGGCAGCAGUAGGGAAUCUUCGGCAAUGGACGAAAGUCUGACCGAGCAACGCCGCGUGAGUGAAGAAGGUUUUCGGAUCGUAAAACUCUGUUGGUAGAGAAGAACGUUGGUGAGAGUGGAAAGCUCAUCAAGUGACGGUAACUACCCAGAAAGGGACGGCUAACUACGUGCCAGCAGCCGCGGUAAUACGUAGGUCCCGAGCGUUGUCCGGAUUUAUUGGGCGUAAAGCGAGCGCAGGUGGUUUAUUAAGUCUGGUGUAAAAGGCAGUGGCUCAACCAUUGUAUGCAUUGGAAAACUGGUAGACUUGAGUGCAGGAGAGGAGAGUGGAAUUCCAUGU
rnacentral:rRNA from 1 species